AAGAGUCGUAUGAACAACUAGAGCUGCUAACUCAAGUGACUAAGAAUAGAAUUCUUAGGCCUCUUACUUCUAUAGGAAAGCAGUAAUCCAUUGGUCUUAGGCACCAAAAAUCU
rnacentral:tRNA from 1 species